rnacentral:rRNA from 1 species
CUCCUAAGGCUAAAUACUCUCUAGUGACCGAUAGUGAACCAGUACCGUGAGGGAAAGGUGAAAAGCACCCCGGAAGGGGAGUGAAAUAGAACCUGAAACCGUGUGCUUACAAGUAGUCAGAGCCCGUUAAUGGGUGAUGGCGUGCCUUUUGUAGAAUGAACCGGCGAGUUACGAUUUGAUGCAAGGUUAAGCAGUAAAUGUGGAGCCGUAGCGAAAGCGAGUCUGAAUAGGGCGUUUAGUAUUUGGUCGUAGACCCGAAACCAGGUGAUCUACCCUUGGUCAGGUUGAAGUUCAGGUAACACUGAAUGGAGGACCGAACCGACUUACGUUGAAAAGUGAGCGGAUGAACUGAGGGUAGCGGAGAAAUUCCAAUCGAACCUGGAGAUAGCUGGUUCUCUCCGAAAUAGCUUUAGGGCUAGCCUCAAGUGAUGAUUAUUGGAGGUAGAGCACUGUUUGGACGAGGGGCCCCUCUCGGGUUACCGAAUUCAGACAAACUCCGAAUGCCAAUUAAUUUAACUUGGGAGUCAGAACAUGGGUGAUAAGGUCCGUGUUCGAAAGGGAAACAGCCCAGACCACCAGCUAAGGUCCCAAAAUAUAUGUUAAGUGGAAAAGGAUGUGGCGUUGCCCAGACAACUAGGAUGUUGGCUUAGAAGCAGCCAUCAUUUAAAGAGUGCGUAAUAGCUCACUAGUCGAGUGACACUGCGCCGAAAAUGUACCGGGGCUAAACAUAUUACCGAAGCUGUGGAUUGUCCUUUGGACAAUGGUAGGAGAGCGUUCUAAGGGCGUUGAAGCAUGAUCGUAAGGACAUGUGGAGCGCUUAGAAGUGAGAAUGCCGGUGUGAGUAGCGAAAGACGGGUGAGAAUCCCGUCCACCGAUUGGCUAAGGUUUCCAGAGGAAGGCUCGUCCGCUCUGGGUUAGUCGGGUCCUAAGCUGAGGCCGACAGGCGUAGGCGAUGGAUAACAGGUUGAUAUUCCUGUACCACCUAUAAUCGUUUUAAUCGAUGGGGGGACGCAGUAGGAUAGGCGAAGCGUGCGAUUGGAUUGCACGUCUAAGCAGUAAGGCUGAGUAUUAGGCAAAUCCGGUACUCGUUAAGGCUGAGCUGUGAUGGGGAGAAGACAUUGUGUCUUCGAGUCGUUGAUUUCACACUGCCGAGAAAAGCCUCUAGAUAGAAAAUAGGUGCCCGUACCGCAAACCGACACAGGUAGUCAAGAUGAGAAUUCUAAGGUGAGCGAGCGAACUCUCGUUAAGGAACUCGGCAAAAUGACCCCGUAACUUCGGGAGAAGGGGUGCUCUUUAGGGUUAACGCCCAGAAGAGCCGCAGUGAAUAGGCCCAAGCGACUGUUUAUCAAAAACACAGGUCUCUGCUAAACCGUAAGGUGAUGUAUAGGGGCUGACGCCUGCCCGGUGCUGGAAGGUUAAGAGGAGUGGUUAGCUUCUGCGAAGCUACGAAUCGAAGCCCCAGUAAACGGCGGCCGUAACUAUAACGGUCCUAAGGUAGCGAAAUUCCUUGUCGGGUAAGUUCCGACCCGCACGAAAGGCGUAACGAUUUGGGCACUGUCUCAACGAGAGACUCGGUGAAAUCAUAGUACCUGUGAAGAUGCAGGUUACCCGCGACAGGACGGAAAGACCCCGUGGAGCUUUACUGUAGCCUGAUAUUGAAAUUCGGCACAGCUUGUACAGGAUAGGUAGGAGCCUUUGAAACGUGAGCGCUAGCUUACGUGGAGGCGCUGGUGGGAUACUACCCUAGCUGUGUUGGCUUUCUAACCCGCACCACUUAUCGUGGUGGGAGACAGUGUCAGGCGGGCAGUUUGACUGGGGCGG